rnacentral:piRNA from 1 species
UGUCUGGUCAAUAAAUAAGGGUGCCGCGGU